CCCAGCUCCUCCUCCCCCGACUCCGCUCUGCAGCUUGUGCUUCAGACCGUGAGCCUCUCUAGCCACUCCGGUGCUCCAGCUACCUGGCAGCCGGCUCCUGCACACGUGGCUGACAGAUGGCUCUACAGCAGGAGAGCCCACUGGUCCGAACAGGGGAUGUAAACAUCAGACAUAUGGUGGAAUAGAACAUGCUCUCCUUUCAAGGCUCAUCAGCAAAAUCGGCCCUGCCGGUGUGAUAGAUUUUAAUGGUGCUGCACCAUUAAUCAUACAAGGUCCACCUGAUUACGAAAGAGAAAAAGUUCACUUCUAUAACAAUCGCCAGUAAUAACAAGCCAUUAGACCCCGUAAAGUGAGUUGAAAUCCUUUUUAAUUGAUUAACAGAUUAAUAAAUGUUUCAAUGGAGUUUUCCUCA
rnacentral:lncRNA from 1 species